rnacentral:rRNA from 1 species
GUGGGGAAUCUUGCGCAAUGGGCGAAAGCCUGACGCAGCGACGCCGCGUGAGCGAAGAAGGCCUUCGGGUCGUAAAGCUCAGUCAUUGGGGAUGAGAUGACAGUACCCAAGGAGGAAGCCCCGGCUAACUACGUGCCAGCAGCCGCGGUAAUACGUAGGGGGCGAGCGUUGUCCGGAAUUACUGGGUGUAAAGGGCGUGUAGGCGGGGGUGCAAGUUACCGGUAAAAACCCAGGGCUCAACUCUGGGCUUGCCGGUAAAACUGCAUCUCUUGAGUGUAGGAGAGGGAAGUGGAAUUCCCGGAGUAGCGGUGAAAUGCGUAGAUACCGGGAGGAACACCAGUGGCGAAGGCGGCUUCCUGGCCUACAACUGACGCUGAGGCGCGAAAGCUAGGGUAGCGAACGGGAUUAGAAACCCUAGUAGUCC